rnacentral:rRNA from 1 species
CGACGAGAGAAAGGAGCUUGCUUUUCUGAUCUAGUGGCGGACGGGUGAGUAACACGUGAGCAAUCUGCCUUUCAGAGGGGGAUACCGAUUGGAAACGAUCGUUAAUACCGCAUAACAUAAUUGAACCGCAUGAUUUGAUUAUCAAAGAUUUAUCGCUGAAAGAUGAGCUCGCGUCUGAUUAGCUAGUUGGUAAGGUAACGGCUUACCAAGGCGACGAUCAGUAGCCGGACUGAGAGGUUGAUCGGCCACAUUGGGACUGAGACACGGCCCAGACUCCUACGGGAGGCAGCAGUGGGGAAUAUUGCACAAUGGAGGAAACUCUGAUGCAGCGAUGCCGCGUGAGGGAAGAAGGUUUUAGGAUUGUAAACCUCUGUCUUCAGGGACGAAAAAAGACGGUACCUGAGGAGGAAGCUCCGGCCAACUACGUGCCAGCAGCCGCGGUAAUACGUAGGGAGCGAGCGUUGUCCGGAAUUACUGGGUGUAAAGGGAGCGUAGGCGGGAUCGCAAGUCAGAUGUGAAAACUAUGGGCUUAACCCAUAAACUGCAUUUGAAACUGUGGUUCUUGAGUGAAGUAGAGGUAAGCGGAAUUCCUAGUGUAGCGGUGAAAUGCGUAGAUAUUAGGAGGAACAUCAGUGGCGAAGGCGGCUUACUGGGCUUUAACUGACGCUGAGGCUCGAAAGCGUGGGGAGCAAACAGGAUUAGAUACCCUGGUAGUCCACGCCGUAAACGAUGAUUACUAGGUGUGGGGGGACUGACCCCUU